rnacentral:rRNA from 1 species
UACGAAGGGGGCUAGCGUUGCUCGGAAUCACUGGGCGUAAAGGGUGCGUAGGCGGGUCUUUAAGUCAGGGGUGAAAUCCUGGAGCUCAACUCCAGAACUGCCUUUGAUACUGAAGAUCUUGAGUUCGGGAGAGGUGAGUGGAACUGCGAGUGUAGAGGUGAAAUUCGUAGAUAUUCGCAAGAACACCAGUGGCGAAGGCGGCUCACUGGCCCGGUACUGACGCUGAGGUGCGAAAGCGUGGGGAGCAAACAGGAG